rnacentral:rRNA from 1 species
CCCUUAGAUGUUCUGGGCCGCACGCGCGCUACACUGAUGCAUUCAACGAGUCUAAAACCUGCUCUGAUAGGGGUGGGUAAUCUUUUGAAUGUGCAUCGUGAUUGGGAUAGAUGAUUGCAAUUUUUCAUCUUCAACGAGGAAUGCCUAGUAAACGCAAGCCAUCAGCUUGCAUUGAUUACGUCCCUGCCCUUUGUACACACCGCCCGUCGCUCCUACCGAUUGAAUGAUCCGAUGAAUAUCAUGGAUUGAGGAUGCAAGUAGGUUAGCCUAUCUUCAUCUUCGAGAAGUGAAGUAAAUCUUAUCAUUUAGAGGAAGGAGAAGUCGUAACA